rnacentral:lncRNA from 1 species
GCCGGCCCGCGUCGCCGUCUCUCGCCCUCCCCGGGCCGCGCGGCCGGAGCUGGCACAGAGCAUCGGCUGCCGCGGCGACACCACCGCCUGGGGACGCGGGCGCUGCGCUGGAUACGGCGCCACCGAGAGCGCCCGCCGCCCGCUGGUCUCUGUCCUGCAAUCCGGGGUUGCCCCCACGAGCGUCCAGCGUUUCCUGAGGGCGGGAGUGUCCGGGCGGUGCGGGGCGCGGGGACCGAGCGCGGCUGAGGAGACCGAGCUGGGGCAGCGCCUGUCGGAGCCCGGGGGACGGCGCGGGGGUCUCGCGGAGCCCCGCGGGAGCCUGGCCCUCCGUGCAGAGCAGUUUUCUGGAACUCUCCGCCUCCGCCUCCCUUGGGGCCCAGUGCGGCGCUGAGCCCCCGUCCGGAUCUGCCUGAGAAAAGAGUGUCAUGAAAAAAGAACCGAAGAGAGACCUCACUGUUGCUGAAAGGGGAAUUUUCUUUCCCAGUUGGCGGUUACUUCAUGAUUGGACGAGAAGUAUCUAGGUGGCUGAAGAGAUUGCAUUUUUAUGGUUAUACACAUGAAGCUGAUAAAAGAAGAUAUGAACAUGGUUUCUCUUUGUCAUAAUAGGCUGAUGAGUAAGUAAGCCUGAAAAAUAUUUGAAAUGAAGGCAGGAAUUUUGAAUUUUUUAAAACCAACUAAGACUUUGAUCACUUGUUGAGGAUGUUUCUUUCUCAUAAAUGGAAGAAAAACAUUCACAAGACAAGAAGUAUAAAACGUUGAGAGGAAUGACAACUGAGUCCACUCACUCGAAGAAUGUCAGUACUUUAUCAUCUUCUUUGGGCAAACAUACACAAAUGCAUCAUAUAUGUGUGGUGAACUUAUCACCAGUGAUGGUUUUCUAUGUUAGAAAUGACUCUUAAUUUGAAUUUUGGAGUGCUUUUUCUCUUUUUUUAACGAUGUGUGUUCCAAGUCUUUGUGUUAAAUAGAUUUAAGUAAAGGAAGUAAAUGCUAAAUUCAUAGUGUUUUUUAACUGUACCACUUCCCUGUGUAUUAUGGAAAAAUUAGAAAUUUUAACGUUCUUCGAAGUUUUACUGGAAGCAAAACUGUGCCAGGGACAGAGAUACACAAUUUAAGUUUUCUCUUUCUGGCAACUGCACUUGCUUAGAAUGUACUG